rnacentral:rRNA from 1 species
AAACUCAGAGCAUAAGGCGGAUUUAGUAGUAAGUUAAGAAUAGAGAGCUUAGCUGAAUGGGGCAAUAAAGCACGCACACACCGCCCGUCACCCUAUUCAAAUAUACUUCUUAUAUAUUUAAUAAAAUAAAUUAUUAAUAGAAUUAUAAAUAUAUAAGAAGAGACAAGUCGUAACAAGGUAAACAUACUGGAAAGUGUGUUUGGAAUAACC